AUUGAACGCUGGCGGCAGGCCUAACACAUGCAAGUCGAACGAGUGGCGGACGGGUGAGUAAUGUCUGGGAAACUGCCCGAUGGAGGGGGAUAACUACUGGAAACGGUAGCUAAUACCGCAUACCAUAGGCUGUGCACAGAUGGGAUUAGCUUGUAGGUGCGGUAACGGCUCACCUAGGCGACGAGCCCUAGCUGGUCUGAGAGGAUGACCGGCGAAACGGGAACGGAGAAACGGUCCAGCCUCCUACGGGAGGCGUCAGGGGGGAAUAUUGCACAAUGGGGUCAAGCUUGAUGCAGCCAGGCCGGGGGGAUGAAGAAGGCCUUCGGGUUGUAAAGUACUUUCAGCGGGGAGGCGUUACCCGCAGAAGAAGCGCCGGCUAACUCCGUGCCAGCAGCCGCGGUAAUAC
rnacentral:rRNA from 1 species